rnacentral:lncRNA from 1 species
CUUAUUCUACAGGGGCAUUUGCAGUGCAUCUUUCAUUUGAACUAGUUUUUAUCUCAUAAACAUAGUGAGAAAAGAUAUGACUGUGCCUACAGCUGUAGAAAACAGAUUGUUAGUUUAAGGUGGGUGAUAGCGUUUUUCAGGGAGGGUCCUGUCUUUGGGGCACAGCUUGUAUGAGCCCUGCUUAGUUAGGAAACGCUAAUGACACAGACCACCAGCACUGCACAAGGCAGAACUGUGUUAAGACCAAUGGAAGAAAACUGGAUUUCCUCCCUCAUAAAGGUUUUUAAGAAUCGUAGUUAACUUUGCACCAAG